GAUGAACGCUGGCGGCGUGCCUAAUACAUGCAAGUCGAGCGAACAGAUAAGGAGCUUGCUCCUUUGACGUUAGCGGCGGACGGGUGAGUAACACGUGGAUAACCUACCUAUAAGACUGGGAUAACUUCGGGAAACCGGAGCUAAUACCGGAUAACAUAUUGAACCGCAUGGUUCAAUAGUGAAAGGCGGCUUUGCUGUCACUUAUAGAUGGAUCCGCGCCGUAUUAGCUAGUUGGUAAGGUAACGGCUUACCAAGGCAACGAUACGUAGCCGACCUGAGAGGGUGGUCGGCCACACUGGAACUGAGACACGGUCCAGACUCCUACGGGAGGCAGCAGUAGGGAAUCUUCCGCAAUGGGCGAAAGCCUGACGGAGCAACGCCGCGUGAGUGAUGAAGGUCUUCGGAUCGUAAAGCUCUGUUAUCAGGGAAGAACAAAUGUGUAAGUAACUGUGCACAUCUUGACGGUACCUGGUCAGAAAGCCACGGCUAACUACGUG
rnacentral:rRNA from 1 species